rnacentral:rRNA from 1 species
GAGACCAGGACGUUGAUAGGCAGGGUGUGUAAGCGUUGCGAGGCGUUGAGCUAACCUGUACUAAUGACUCGAGAGGCUUAACCAUACAACCCAGAUGGGUUUU